AUUGUUUCUCCUGGCAGCUGUCUGUACCAGUACAUCUGGAAGUACUGAGCACCCUUGGUGUGGCUGCAGUUCAUUGUUGCACUGUCCUCCUGUUGUUUCCAAAGUAUGGAGGUCUAGGUGACAU